AGAACAUAGGCAGCUCCGAUCCAAUUAGUGACAUGCGUGGCAGCAUCAGGGACCUUCUGGUGCAUCUCCAACACCAGGGCCGGGAAGAACAUGUCAAGCUUUGACUUGGCAGUAUAGCUUCUUAGGCAUCUAACAGGACGGAUAGCGACAAUUUUGGGUUGAGACGGCAGGACAAUCGGCAGCUUUCUUGUCCUUAGUUCUUGGAAACUACUGGUAUAUCAUAUAAUAUAAAAAUACAAGAAAAUGCAUGAUUUGUAAGCCGAGAGUUACAAGUUCGACUCUCCGUGAGAGUGACCUAUUGAUAUUCAUGGUUCGGUCAACUAUGAGCAAUGCAGGUUGUGGUCCUUUAACGGCUAAGAUCACAAGGCUGGAUUUACCACGUGCACGGCUUCGAUAGUGGCUCUGAUUUUCCUUGUCACUCAAAA